rfam:Macrostomum lignano uti_cns_0006440, whole genome shotgun sequence.
GGGGUUGUAGCCUAGUGGUUAGAGCGUCGGACUCACGACCUGAAGGUCGGGGGUUCGAUUCCCGACCCA